AGGUUUGUAGUUUUGUGGUUCGAACACUGAACUAUGAUUCUGGAGACCAGAGUUCGAAUCCCGGCUGGGCCA